GAACGAUACAAUCCUUGGAACCAUAUUCUACUUUUGGAAGCGUGAUUAACUGCAAACGGCCUGAAUUGCAAUACUCUUCUGCACUUGAGGGCAUGGAUCUCCUCCAAAGAGCUCACUAGAUACAGGAGAUUGGAGAGAGCAGAAAUGAAAAUUUUAAAAUGGAGGUCAAUAAAAUGGAGAAAAAGGUUAAAGAAAAAGUGCAGACAGCAGGGCAUGAGAAGGAGCUUUCAAAGAUGCAGGGAUGUUGGGGGCUGAAACUCAGAUGCUGGAAUAUGAGGAUCAAGGAACCCAAAAAGACUAGUGAAAUCAGACAUCAUUACUGAAAAAGCCAGGUUUGAUGAGCAGUUGGACCAGAAAUAUUUCUAAGUGCUAUUCUAUUAGCAUCAUUUUACUACUUGGAUCUAUUUAUUCGCAAGGUACUUGCACUUGGACAUAAGCCGUGUGGCCUUAUCUUCCCCAGCUAAUACUAAUUUCAAACAUUGUAUUACUUUUCAUUGUAGCCCAACAAAUAGUGGGACAACUUUUGAGGCCUUGAAAAGCCACAAGGUGGUUUUUACAAAUCAUUCACUUUAUGGAUUUGUUAAUACUGGCUGUAUUUGCAUAAAUAACG